CAUGGCUCAGGACGAACGCUGGCGGCGUGCUUAACACAUGCAAGUCGAACGUGAUUUUUGUGGAAAGCCCUUCGGGGACGGAAAUGAAAUGAAAGUGGCGAACGGGUGAGUAACACGUGAGCAACCUACCUUACACAGGGGGAUAGCCGUUGGAAACGACGAUUAAUACCGCAUGAGACCACAAAGCCACAUGGCUUAGGGGUAAAAGAUUUAUCGGUGUAAGAUGGGCUCGCGUCUGAUUAGCUAGUUGGAAGGGUAAAGGCCUACCAAGGCAACGAUCAGUAGCCGGUCUGAGAGGAUGAACGGCCACAUUGGAACUGAGACACGGUCCAAACUCCUACGG
rnacentral:rRNA from 1 species